rnacentral:tRNA from 1 species
GGAGAGGUGGCUGAGCGGUCGAAAGCGGCGGUCUUGAAAACCGUUGUGUCGAAAGGCACCCAGGGUUCGAAUCCCUGCCUCUCCGCCA